AACGGGGGGGGACAAGCGUUAUUCGUCAGGACUGGGUGUAAAGGAUCUGUAGAUUGCCUUGAGAUAGUUUGGAAACGAAACGCUUUAGGCUCAACCUUUUGAGGUUUCCUCACAACACACUCUUGAGCUUUGAGUUAUAUGGGAGGUUAAAAGUACUUUAACUUGAAAGGUAGAAUUUGUCGACAGUUAUAAGGACUACCAUUUGGCGAAAGGCAUU
rnacentral:rRNA from 1 species